rnacentral:rRNA from 1 species
UACAGAGGGUGCAAGCGUUAAUCGGAAUUACUGGGCGUAAAGCGUGCGUAGACGGUUAUGUAAGUCGGGUGUGAAAGCCCCGGGCUCAACCUGGGAAUUGCAUUCGAGACUGUGUAGCUAGGGUACGGAAGAGGGAAGCGGAAUUUCAGGUGUAGCGGUGAAAUGCGUAGAUAUCUGAAGGAACACCAGUGGCGAAAGCGGCUUCCUGGUCCAGUACCGACGUUCAGGCACGAAAGCGUGGG